CUGCCCAGCUGCCACCACCUGCCCAGACCUCUCUCCUCAAACACCUGCUUCUGGCAUCACUGCCACCUCUUGGGCCACUUUUCAGUGUCCCUUUGGCGGCAGGCAGCACCCACACCCACCAUCUCCCUUUCUCUGCCAUCCCUUAGAAGCUAGAGUUCAAAGCCUGUUCCCUUUUCCUUCUUGAACAAUAUCUCUGGGGUAGCACCUCCUUCCCUUGGAACCUCCUGAAGCUCACGCCAAGGCCUCGCUCCUGAGCGCCCAGCCCAGCCGUCCUCACAGCGGGUCCCAUACCUGCCGCCUCAGUGCCACCUGCACUGGUGAGAGAUGCGCCUCAGACCCCAGGGACCCAGGGAUUCUCCCUAGGGCUUGAGAAUUACAGACCUCACAGGAACACCAGUGACUGAGCUCUUGUCUUAAAUUGAAAUAAAAUUCACACAACAUCA
ensembl:lncRNA novel transcript, antisense to MKL1